UACGUAGGGUGCGAGCGUUAAUCGGAAUUACUGGGCGUAAAGCGUGCGCAGGCGGUUCGUUGUGUCGGCGGUGAAAUCCCCGGGCUCAACCUGGGAAUGGCAGUGGAAACUAGGGGACUGGAAUCUGGCAGAGGGGGGUGGAAUGCCGCGUGUAGCAGUGAAAUGCGUAGAGAUGCGGCGGAACACCGAUGGCGAAGGCAGCCCCCUGGGCUGAGAUUGACGCUCAGGCACGAAAGCGUGGGGAGCAAACAGG
rnacentral:rRNA from 1 species